rnacentral:rRNA from 1 species
GACAGAGGGGGCAAGCGUUGCUCGGAAUUACUGGGCGUAAAGGGCGCGUAGGCGGGAUGGCAAGUCGGUCGUGAAAUCCCUCGGCUCAACUGAGGAUCGUCGAUCGAUACUGCCGUUCUUGAGGAUUGCAGAGGAGACUGGAAUUCCCGGUGUAGCGGUGAAAUGUGUAGAGAUCUGGAGGAACACCGGUGGCGAAGGCGGGUCUCUGGGCAAUUCCUGACGCUGAGGCGCGAAAGCGUGGGGAGCAAACGGG